rnacentral:rRNA from 1 species
AAGUGGAGCAAUCCAUGAGUAUAGUGGCGACCGGGUGAGUAACACGUGACUACCUGCCCUUGAGUGGGGGAUAACCUCGGGAAACCGAGGCUAAUACCGCAUAAUAUCGCAAGAUCAAAGGAGCAAUCCGCUUUUGGAGGGGGUCGCGGCUGAUUAGCUAGUUGGCGGGGUAACGGCCCACCAAGGCGAAGAUCGGUAUCCGGCCUGAGAGGGCGCACGGACACACUGGAACUGAAACACGGUCCAGACUCCUACGGGAGGCAGCAGUGGGGAAUUUUGCGCAAUGGGGGAAACCCUGACGCAGCAACGCCGCGUGGAGGAUGAAGCCCCUUGGG